ensembl:lncRNA
GGAUGUCCUGCCUGUCACAGCCCCUGCUGUUCCUCACCCUGAAUGAGGAAGUAGAAACAAAUCGGCGGGAAUAUGUUCCUCUAAGCAAUCCCGUGGGCGCCCCUGUUCCUGUCAGCCUGCCUCCAACUUCCCUACAUCACAAGCUCUGAGCAGGAUGUGCCUUCCUGUUUUGCUACCACUCAAGCGUCCUGCUGCUGCUGCUGCUAAGUUGCUCCCGUCAUGUCCGACUCUGCGACCCCAUAGACGGCAGCCCACCAGGCUCCCCCGUCCCUGGGAUUCUCCAGGCAAGAACACUGGAGUGGGUUGCCAUGUCCUUCUCCAGUGCAUGAAAGUGAAGAGUGAAAAUGAAGUCGCUCAGUCGUGUCCGACUCUUAGCUACCCCGUGGACUGCAGCCCACCAGGCUCCUCCGUCCGUGGGAUUUUCCAGGCAAGAAUACUGGAGUGGGUCGCCAUUGCCUUCUCCGCUUAAGUGUCCUAGUCUCAGCCUAACGCAAGUGGUGCUGGCUGACCCCUUGCAAUGCAAAUAGUAGCUGCUCAAUGCACUUACUGAUCGGUAUUUUUAAAUCUUCAUAAACAUCAUAAUGGAAGGAUAAUACGGAGUUAGGAACAUGUGUGACAUUGUUAACGAUUUCUUUAGUAUUUAGACAUUAAAUGUAGGGCUCCUUAUAACUUUUCCAUCUUAAAACUAAAGCUAUUGAAGGAGGGGAAAGAAGCUCAAUAAGCGAG